rnacentral:rRNA from 1 species
GACGUAGGGGGCGAGCGUUGUCCGGAUUUAUUGGGCGUAAAGCGUGCGUAGGCGGCUGCGCAAGUCGGGUGUGAAACCCCGGGGCUCAACCCCGGAACUGCAUCCGAUACUGCGUGGCUAGAGGUAGGUAGGGGAGAUCGGAAUUCCUGGUGUAGCGGUGAAAUGCGCAGAUAUCAGGAGGAACACCGGUGGCGAAGGCGGAUCUCUGGGCCUUACCUGACGCUCAGGCACGAAAGCGUGGGGAGCAAACAGG